GCCAUGCAUGUCUCAGUACAAACUGAAUUAAAGUGAAACCGCGAAAGGCUCAUUAAAUCAGUUAUGGUUUACUUGAGUUAAAACUUUUGUUUUGGAUAACUGUGGCAAUUCUAGAGCUAAUACAUGCAAACAAGUCCCGACCAGCGAUGGAAAGGACGCUUUUAUUAGACCAAAACCAAUCGGCCGGCUCGACCGGCCAACUUGGUUGGUGACUCUGGAUAACACUGCAGAUCGCAUGGUCUUCGUACCGGCGACCCAUCUUUCAAAUGCCUGACUUAUCAACUGUCGAUGGUAGACUCUGUGUCUACCAUGGUUGUAACGGGUAACGGGGAAUCAGGGUUCGAUUCCGGAGAGGGAGCCUGAGAAACGGCUACCACAUCCAAGGAAGGCAGCAGGCACGCAAAUUACCCACUCCCGGCACGGGGAGGUAGUGACAAAAAAUAACGAUACGGGACUCAUCCGAGGCCCCGUAAUCGGAAUGAGUACACUUUAAAUCCUUUAACAAGGAUCCAUUGGAGGGCAAGUCUGGUGCCAGCAGCCGCGGUAAUUCCAGCUCCAAUAGCGUAUAUUAAAGUUGUUGCGGUUAAAAAGCUCGUAGUUGGUUCUGUGUCCCGCGCUGUUGGUUCACUGCCUGUCGGUGCAACUGGCAUGUCGCGGGAUGUCCUGUCGGUGGCGUCCGGGGCCCUCGGCAGAGAGCGGCUUGUCGUUUUCGUCGUGUGCGCCUCCGGUCGCCGACCCAAUCCUGCCGCGGUGCUCUUGAUUGAGUGUCGAGGUAGGCCGACACGUUUACUUUGAACAAAUUAGAGUGCUUAAAGCAGGCUGAAACCUGCCUGAAUAGUGGUGCAUGGAAUAAUAGAACAGGACCUUGGUUCUAUUUUGUUGGUUUUCGGAAUCCAAGGUAAUGAUCAAUAUGGACAGGCGGGGGCAUUCGUAUUGCGACGUAGAGGUGAAAUUCUUGGAUCGUCGCAGACGACUAGAGCUUAAGCAUUUGCCAAGUAUGUCUUAAUUGAUCAAGAACGAAAGUUAGAGGUUCGAAGGCGAUCAGAUACCGCCCUAGUUCUAACCAUAAACGAUGUCAGCCAGCGAUCCGCCGGCGUUCAUUACAUGACUCGGCGGGCAGCUUCUCGGGAAACCAAAGCUUUUGGGUUCCGGGGGAAGUAUGGUUGCAAAGCUGAAACUUAAAGGAAUUGACGGAAGGGCACCACCAGGAGUGGAGCCUGCGGCUUAAUUUGACUCAACACGGGAAACCUCACCAGGCCCGGACAUUGGAAGGAUUGACAGAUUGAU
rnacentral:rRNA from 1 species